GAGAGCGGAAGUGGCGUUGGUCUGGCCGGAGCCCUUGGGUGGAUUUGUUAGGCGUGGAGAGGGAGUGAUGUCUUCCAGGCUCGGUGCAGUACCCGCCGUGAGUUUCUCGGUUUGACCGUUAUGUUUUAGGGGUAGCGCUGUCGAGCCCGCAACACGCGGUCCCUCGCUUUUGUGCCAUGCUCAGAGUUGGUUUUAUCAGAGCCCAUCGUAGGCCCCACCCUUCUAGGUCAGAUCUACCUGUCUCCCUUUUUCCCCCCAGUUACCGCUGACUGUUCCCACCUCCUUGGACUCAGUUCUUCGCUAGAUUGCCAUUAGUUUCUAUUUCUUUUAUAUCCCCAGUACCUCCCAUAUCCGUUGUCCUCUCUUUUCGCCUCCCUUUUAGAGCCUCUAUCUGGGACGGGGCUUUGAGAAUGGGGAAGAUGAAGGCUAUGGUGUUGUCACCUGCCUUGGCUGGGUAGGAAGACAGGACGACACGCUUUUCCAAAAAAGUCUUGCUUUCUUCCGUUGGAGGUAGUUGCCCCGGGAGAGCUUCAUUUCUUCUGGGCACAGGGGGAUUCGUCUUUUUGUGGUCAAGGUUCAGCGGUCCCUAGCAUUCACUCAUGUGCUUGCGAUUUGCUAGACUCCGGAACCCACAUCCUUUAAGCACCAGAGGAGCACGAAGAUCGUGGGAGCUAAGAAGUAAGUGAGAUUUUCUGGGGUCCAUUUAUAAUUGUGUCGCCAGCGCUGUCCAAUGGAACUUUUGUGAUGAUGAAAAUGUUCUGUAUUCCCGCUGUAAAGGACCGUAGCCACGUAUGGCUUUUGAGCACUUGAAAUGUGGCCAGUGUGAUUGAGGAACUGAAUUUUAAAUUGUAUUUGAUCUUAACUUAAAUUUAAAUAGCCACCUAUAGUUAGUGCCUACCUUGAUUGGACAGUGCGGGUCUAAACCUAAUGUAGGGGAGAAGAACCUAGCUUGCAAAGAAAAGCACGAAUUAUAUUAAAAAUGGAAGGUAUGACCUAGUGUAGCCUCGCAUAUCCUCAGACAACAAGUAUGUACUCAUGAAUACAUUGAUGAACAUGGGAAGGAUUGAUAAAAAUGCCUGGAAGAAAUCCUUUUCUUUUCAGACUGCUUGGCUUUAAGACUGGUUUAUUACUUUGUAGACCGAAUGUGCUAACCUUUUUCAUAUUUGUUAUUACAAAAUAGAUUCUUAUUAACUAGAUAUUCACUGAAAGGGUUAAUUCAUUCAGAUAACAUUUACUAAAUAUCUGGUAUGUGCCAGCUCUGUAGUAGGUUAGAUACACAGGCAAGAAAAACACAGAACUAAUAAUCCAGAAGGGAAGAUAGGCAAGUACAUCAACAUGAUACAGUGUAAUUAAAUAUUUUUAAACAGGAAUUUAAUAAUAGCAUUUAGGGAGGGGGAGUGAUAGUUCAGAAGGGAAGAGUUGCCAGAGCAAAUCACUUCUAAACAGACUUGAAAGUCAAGAAAUAAUGCAGUUAGCGUAAGGAAAAGGUAUUUUUCAUAGAGACAGAAUGUGAACAGGUGAAAGCAUUUAAUGGAAUAAUAAGUGGGUAAUUGCUAAGAGAUAUAAAGAAUAAUAGGUCCUCAUCUAUUAAUCUGAGUCAGAAUCAUUGGAGUUAGGGUAUAGGAAUCCUUAUUUUUAACUGACUUUAUAGGAGAUUGUGAAGUUUGAGAACCAUUGGGGAGAAGUGAGACUAGAAGAGACUACAGGAUGAAACCCUGGAGAAUGUCAGCAUUUAAGGAUUGGGUAGAAUGAAGGGAGGCAGCAAAAGAAACUGAGAUGAACCAAAAUAAUUUUCUAAUGAAAUCUAAGUAGUUGCACCUAGAGAAUGAACUACGGUCUUGUAAAAAUUUUUGGUAGAUCGGAGAGGAGUCCAAAAUAGGUUAAACUUUUCUUCCUUGUGAUUAGAAGCUGAGACUGAAAAGUAAUGCCACAGACAACAAAUUAUAAAGUCACUACAAUUAUGAUCAUACUGUUUGAACUUUUUCUUGCCAUAGUUAUGGUAAGGGAAGUUUGAGAUUAAUUGGAGUUUUUGCAAGUAACCAAAUACCCUCAUUGGACAAGUAUUGUAAAAUACUUGAUAAUUGGUUUUGGUGAGUCCUCUAAAAAUAAGAGGCCUAGAGGGAGGGGUUCUCUAACCACAUUGACUUAAUUCCCAAGAUGCUAAUCAUGCUGAUCACGUGCUUGUACUUAUUCGUGAGACGGGAUAUGCGUCUGAGUCCUACACUGACCGUAAAGAAAUUCCUAUGAGGACAGUUUACUAAGAGGAGUCACAUGGGACUUGACUCUUAAUGGCUUGUUGAUACUUUCAAGUCUUCCUGGUAGAGAUUGGUCCCAUUGUUUUGGAGGGUGGGUUUUGGCGCAGAGGACUGCCAAUUCUUAUUAAAAAAAAUUUUUUUUAAUACUUUUAUUGAGGUAUCAUUGAAGUACAAGAUACCAUACAUUUACAUAUUACAUACCCACAGUUUACAUAUUUAAAGUAGACAGUAUGAUCAACGUUGACAUUUGUAAAUAACCAUAACACUGUCAGCACAAUCAAGAUAACAUUUCCAUUUCUCCCAGAAGUUUUUGUGUAAUCCGUUCCUUCCUCUGCUCCUGUUCUGGACACCACCGACCUUUUUCUGUCACCGUACAGUGGUUUGCAUGUAUAAAUGCAAAUCAUAUAGUAUGUUUUUUAUAUAAAUGAAAUUUUAUAUAAGUUAUUUUAUAUAAAUGAAAUCAUAUAGUAUGUUUUCUUUUUGCAUGAUUUCUUUCACUCAAUAUAAUAAUUUUUGACUGAAAAUUAGUUUUUAUUGCUGAAUAGAAUUCCAUUAUGGAUAUACCAUGAUUUGUUUAGCUAUCUACCUUGAUGGACAUUUGGCUAAUUUUAUUUUGGGGGUAUUAAAGCUGCUGUGAACAUCCACAUACAAGUCUCUGUGUGGAAAAAUGUUUUUUCUCUCUUGAUCAAUGCCUACGAUGGUAUUUAUUUACUAAGAUAUACCAUUUUAGGUUGGUUGGGCCAUAUGUCAGGAUUAUGUUUACCUUUUUAAGAAAUUACCUGUUUUCCAAAUUGGUGGUAUUAUUUUAUAUACCAGCAGUAUAUGGGAAUAAGCCUUAAAUUUUGGCCAAUUUUAUGGGUGUAGAGUGGUGUUUCAUUGUGAUUUUGAUUUGCAUUUUCCUGAUGAAUAAUGAUGUAGAACAUCUGUUCAUGUGCUUAUUAGCCAUUCAUGUAUCUUCUGCAAAGUGCCUGUUCGUAUCUUUUGCCCAUUUAAAAAGUUGAGUUGUUUGUCUUACUAUGGAAUUGUAGUAUUUUUAAAAAUUCUGUUCUGAGUACAGUUCCUUUAUCUGAUAGAUGUAUCUUGAAUAUUUCCUUCCAGUCUCUGGUUUGCAUUUCAUUUUUUAAUUGUGUCUUUUGAAGACCAAAAAUUAUAAAUUUAUCAUUAAAAAUGAUUAAAAUGUUAUUAUUUUUUCCCUUAUCCUUCCUGCUUUUUGUAUUCUGUUGAGGAAACUUUGCCAUCCCUAAUUGCAAAGAUUUUCUCCUUUGUUUUUUCUAGAAGUUUUCUAGGUUUUACAUUUAGGUCUGUGAUACAUUUAGAGCUAAUUUUUUGUGCAUGGUGUGUCAUAAGAAUCAAUGUUAAUUUCUUUUUAUUAUUUAUCCUGUUGUUAAUACUUCCCUUUCCCUAUUCAAUUACAUUGGCACCUUUGUCAGAAAUUAUUUGAAUAUAUAUAUGUGUGGGUCUGUUUCUGGACUCCUUAUUCUGUUCCACUGAUGUAUGUAUCUAUCUUUUUGCCAAUACUAAACUGUCUUGUAGGAUUAGAGUAAAUCUUGAAAUCAGAUAGGAGAAGUCAUCUAACUUUAUUGUUCUUUUUUAAAAUUUUUUUUAGCUAUUCUAGGUUCUUUGUCUUUUUAUAUAAAUUCUAGAGUCAGUUUAUCAGUUUCUAUAAAAAGAAGCAUGCUAAAGUAUUGAUUGGUAUUAUAUGGAAUCAGUAGACCAAUUGGGGAGAGUUGCCAUUUUAACAAUACUGAGAUUUCUGAUUUAUGAACAUGGUAUAUUUUUCUGUUUAUUUAGAUCUUUAACUUCUCUCACCAGCAUGAUGUAGUUUUCAUUAUAAAAUCUUGGUUAUCUUUUGUUAGAUUUGUUCUUAGGUAUUUUAUGUGUUUUUCAUGUUAUUAUAAAUGAUACUAUUUUUAUAAGUUCAUUUCUAGUUUGUUGUUGCUGGUAUCUAAGAAUACGAUUGAUUUUAUGUGUUAACCUUCCUUGUGUCCUGACACUUGCUUAAUUCAUUUUUAGUUCUAGUAGUUUUUCUAUUUUUUGAGAUUUUCUUUGUAAACAAACAUAUAAUCUGCAAAAAGGGGCAGUUUUCUUUUCUCCUUUUUUGAUCUUUAUGCCUCCUCCUCCCCUUUAAAAAGGUUAAAAGGGUGCCUAGGUGUCUCAGUCGAUUAAGUGUCCAGCUGGUGAUUUCUGCUCAUGUCAUGAUCUCAGAGGUUCCAGAUAUUGAGCCCUGAGUUGGGCUCUGUGCUGAUAGCAAGGAGCCUGCCUGGGAUCCUCUCUCUCACUCUCUCUCUGCUCCCCCCCCCCCCCCAUAAACAAAUAAACUUAAAAAAUAAAAAAUAUAUAUAUAAAGGAAAAAACCUUAUUGCAGUGGUAUUCAACAGUGGAAUCAACCAUUCUGGGUCUAGGGGUUUCUUUUUGGGAAAUUCUAAUGAUAAAUUAAAUUUCUUUAAUAGAUCUAGAGCUUUUUAGAGUUCCAGUUUCAUGUUAUGUCAGGCUCGAUGCAGGGCUCAACCUCACAAACCGAGAUCAUGACCUGAGCCAAAAUCAAGAGUUGGGUGCUUAACUGACUGAGCGACCCAGGUGCCCCAACAAUCUGACUUUAAUUGGAGUGUUGAGACCAUAAACAUUUAUUUAUUUAUUUAUCCAUCUAUUUACUUAUUUUUAAAGUUUAUUUAUUUAUUUAUUUAUUUAUUUAUUUGAGCAAUCUCUACACCCAAUGGUUAGAACUCAUGACCCGAAAAUCAAGAGUUGCAUGCUCUUCUGACUGAGCCAGCCAGGUGUCCUGACCAUAAACAUUUAAAUUAAUUAUUGAUAUGGUUAGAUUUAGGUUUGUUAUUUUAUUAUUUGUUCUCUGUACCCUAUUUUUUUGUUCCUUUAUAAAUUAUUUUGUUUUUAAUUUUUUUUUUAGUCUUUAUUUAUUUUUGAGAGAGAGAGAGAGAGAGAGAGAGAGACAGAGGGCAAGCAGGAGAGGAACAGAGAGAGAAGGAGACACAGAAUCUGAAGCAGGCUCCAGGCUCUGAGCUGUCAGCACAGAGCCCAAUGCGGGGCUUGAACUCACAAAGUGUGAGAUCAUGACCUGAACCGAAGUCAGACGCUUAACCGACUGAGCCACCCAGGCACCCCUAUACCUUAUUUUGGAUUAUUUAAAUAUUUACUGUCUGAUUUUAGUUUAUAUAUUUAAUUUUUGCUGUUUUCUUUCUUUUUUCUCUUUCUUUCUCUUGUGUGUAGUACUUGCUUUAGGAUUUACAGUAUACAUAUCUGUCGUUUCAUAGGCUACUUAGAGUUUGCGUACUACCACCUUGCUUAAAUGUAAAUGCCUUACAACCAUGUAGAUUCCUUAACCCGGUCUGCUGACCAUUAAGUUAUAGCUGUCAUAUGUAUUACAUCUACCUAUGUUGAAAACCUUGCCAGAUAAUGUUAAAGUUUUGUUUUAAAGAGGGUUUUUGGGUUUUUUUUUUUUUUAAAUAUGUUUACCCAUUUCUUUUGUUCUUUCUUCAUUCUUAAAAACCUAGCUUUCUGGUAUCAUUUUCCUUCAGCUAGAAUAAUCUCCUUUAGCAUUUCUCAUAGAGCAGGUCUGCUGACAACAAAUUUUCUUUUCUUUUUUUUUUUUUUCAUCUGAAGAAGUAUGCCUAAAGGAUAUUUUCAUGGAAUACAGAAUUUCAGAUUGAGAAAUUUUUUCUCUCAAGAUUUUAUUUUUUUUUAUUUAAAAAAAUUUUUUUUAACAUUUAUUUAUUUUUGAGACAGAGAGUGGCAGAGUAUGAAUGGGGGAGGGUCAGAGAGAGAGGGAGACACAGAAUCUGAAACAGGCUCCAGGCUCUGAGCUGUCAGCACAGAGCCCGAUGCAGGGCUCGAACUCACGGACCGCGAGAUCAUGACCUGAGCCGAAGUCGGACACUUAACCCUGAGCCACCCUGGGGCCCCAAGAUUUUAAAGAUGUUACACUGUUUUCUGUUCUCUUUGGUUUCUUUUUUUUUUUUUUUUUAAGUUAAAAGAAAAUCUUUUUAAUGUUUAUUUAUUUUUGGGAGAGAGCGCACUAGCAGGGGAGAGGCAGAGGGAGUGGGGGACAGAGUAUCAGAAGCAGGCUUUGUGCUGACAAGCAGAGAGCCUGAUGCAGGGCUUGAACUCACAAACCAUGAGAUCAUGACCUGAGCUGAAGUUGGACACUUAACCAACUGAGCCACUCAGGCGUGCCUGUUCUCUUUGGUUUCUAUUCAAAGUUUUGUGGUCAUUCAAAUCAUUGAUGUAUAUAUAUACACACACAUACAUAUGUAUACAUAUGUACAUAUGCAUAUACAGAAAUAUAAUGUUAUUUUUUUAAAUUGCUUUCUAGAUUUUUUUUUUAACAUUCGGUUUUGAAAUUUUUCAUUAAGAUGUAUCUGGGUGUAUUUUUCUUCGAGUUUAUUUUCUCAAGUGUUUGUUGAGCUCCUAGGAUCUGUAAAUUAAUGUCUCAUUAAUUUUGGGUGAUUUUCCACCAUUAUUUUUUUCAAAUGUAUUUUCAUGCCACAGACUUUUUUCCUUUCCUUUUGGGAUUAUGGCUACACUUAAGUUAGACAUUUUGAUGUUGACCCACAGGUUGUUGGGGCUCUGCUGAGUGUUUUUCAGUCUUUUUUCUCUUUGUUCUUCAGAUCGGUUAAUUUCUAUUGAUCUGUCUUCAAGUUCACAGGCUCUUUCCUUUUUCAUCUCCAUCCUGUUAUUGAGCCCAUUCUGUUUUUAUUUCAAAUACUGUAUUUUUAGUUCUAAAAUUUCAGUUCUUUUUUUUUUUUUUUUUUUUGGUUUCUGUUUUCUGCUGAUAAUUCCUAUCUUUUCCUUCACUUCAAGUGUGUUUUCCUUUAUUUCAUGAAACAUAGUUAUAAUAGCGUCUUUAAAUCUUUGGUAGUUCUAACUUCUGGAUCAUCUUGGGGUGACAUUUGUUUGUUAUCUGUUCCUUUCAGAAUUAUUCACAUUUUACUGGUUCUUUGUAUAUUGCAUAAUUUUGGAAUUUAUUCCUAAUAUUGUGAAUGUUAUUUGUAUAGACUUUGGGUCCUUUUAGAAUCUUCUGGGAGAUCAUUGCUGUUUUGUUUUAUUUAAAAAAUUUUUUUUAAUGUUUAUUUUUGAGAGAGAGACAGAAUACUAGCAGGGGAGGGACAAAGAGAAAAGGAGACAGAAUCCAAAGCAGGCUCCAGGCUCUGAGCUAUUAGCACAGAACCCGAUGCAGGGCUUGAACUUAUGAACUGUGAGAUCAUGACCUGAGCUGAAGUCGGACACCCGACUAACUGAGUCACCCAGGUGCCCCAUCAUUGCUGUUUUUAUUUUAGCAAGUAACCUGUUUACUGUUCAGACCAUAAGUUCUGUCUUGUCUUCUGAGGGUAUUGGUUCAAUCUUAGUUCCAUUAUUAAAAAAAAAAAUUUUUUUUAAUGUUUAAUUUUGAGGGAGGGGAGGGGCAGAGAGAGAGACACACACAAGAAUAUGAAGCAGGCUCCAGGCUCUGAGCUGUCGGCACAGAGCCUGAUGCAGGGCUCAAACUUAAGGACCGUGAAAUCAUGACCUAAGCCGAAGUUGGACACUCAACCAACUGAGCCACCCAGGUGCCCCUUAGUUCCACUCUUCUAAGUCUCUGCUAUGAUAGUUGAAGUCUGUUUUGAAUAGUUUAGUGGUUUGUUGGAGACUUUUUCAGGUGUUUCAAGUCUUGAUUCAUUUCUCCAAGCUUUUGCUACAUUGGAUUGGGUCUGUCUUUCACUAGUAGCUCAGGGGUUAGUCUGAGGCUUGUGCAAUUUGUUAAAAUUUGAAGCCUUUGCUAAACUGGCUUGGGUCUGCUCCACACAUACAUGGCUCAGAUUAAGCUGUGAUUUGUAUGAAUUCAGACAGAAUUAUGCGAUUACCUUCUUUGCAUGUCUCUUCUUCACAGCUCUCUCACACCUUCUGGUCUAUAGAGACCCCUUUUCCUAGUUUCUCUGGUCAGAAAGAGAGUUUUUGUUGGAAUGUAGGCCGCCCAUGCUACUCUACAAAUGGGCCCACCCUUAUUGCAGAGCCACAUGUGAGGGAAAACAAAAAAAAAAGAGGGGGGGGGGGAAACACAUCCCAUGGGAGUCACUUCUCCCAGUUUUGACUUCUCUCCACAAUCCACCUGCUUUGUUUUCUUUUCAGAAUCUAGGAUUUUUAGUUGUAAUAAGCAGGAGGGAUGGGCUGUAGAGGGCUUAUGCACCAUGGCUGAAUCAAGACUUUGCUGUAUUAAAUUUGUAAUUUUGGAUCUCAUGUGCAGAGAAGUGAAAAUCAUUCUUCCCUGCUCAGAGUAUACUGACAUCAUCAGUCCCUAUUAUUUUUUGUUUUACCUGUUUCCAUUUCCAUCUCCUUCCAGAGACAACCAUGUUAGCAAGUGUGACAUUUGUCCUUAAAUAUUUAUGAAUCUUUGUAAAAUAGCUAGUGCUGUUUACAUGUGUAUUUGUUUUUAAUUUACCAAAUUGACAUUAGUCUUGUUCUGUUUCUUCUGUCAUUCAACAGUAUGCUUUUUGGUUAUGUUCAUGUCUCUAUGUGUAGAAAUGGUUUAUUGCUUCUAACAACUACAUAGUAUUCCAUAGUAGACAUGUAUCACAUUUUACUUACAUAUUUCUUAUGAAUGGUCACCUAGGGGCACCUGGGUGGCUUAGUAGGUUAAGUGGCCAACUCUUGAUUUUGGCUGAGGUCAUGAUCUCACAGUUCACGAGAUUGAGCCCCACAUCGGUCUCUGUGCUGACGGCAUGCCUGCUUGGGAUUCUUUCUCUCCCCCUCUCUCUCAGGACCGCUUUUGUGCCUAUGUUCACACUCUCUCUUUCGAAAUAAAUAAGUAAACAUUUAAAGUAUUAUAUUGAAUCUGCCAAUUUACGUCUACUACAAAACCUUAGUUCAAGUCCUUAUCAUCUCUUAUCUAUUCUAUUACAAUAAACUGCUACCUCUUCUCCCUUUAUACACUUUUCCUCCAUGGGUCAUCUAAUGUAUAGCAUCCAGAGUGAUCUUUCUGAACCAUAAACCUAACACAUGCCUCACACAGAUCUUUAGCUGGAGAAGGAUGUCUCAGAGGUUCUCGGACCACACUUUUUUUUUUUUUCCAAUGUUUAUUUAUUUUUGGGACAGAGAGAGACAGAGCAUGAACAGGGGAGGGGCAGAGAGAGAGGGAGACACAGAAUCGGAAACAGGCUCCAGGCUCUGAGCCAUCAGCCCAGAGCCCGACGCGGGGCUCGAACUCACGGACCGCGAGAUUGUGACCUGGCUGAAGUCGGACACUUAACCGACUGCGCCACCCAGGCGCCCCCGGACCACACUUUUGAGAACUGCUGCUCCUCUGUGCAUUCUGAGCCUCCUAGAAGAUAACUUUGUAAUUACUCAGUCAUGUUUGUUAACUACAUAGUGACUGGUCUUAAAUUUGGGAAUUUGGAUCCAGCUGUGUAUCAGACUUGUCUGGCCAGCUUACCUCAGACAAGGCAGCACCCUUCCUUUAACUGUGGGAACUAAGAAUCAUAUUGCCUAAAUAAGACAGGACAGCCCUGACACCAGGUUUAGGGAGGAGGCUAAGGGAGAGGGAAGAUGGAGCAGACUAGAGCCCUACAAACUGUUUUUUUCCUUCUUUAUUCUCAGGGGUACUGUUUAGUUACUGUCCCUCUCUCAGAGAAAUAGAGGUGCCUGGUUACAGAUCCAUGGGAUCUUCUGAAGGGUCGUAGAACAGCCUAUUACUUUGACUACUUUCUUUUCCUGGAUCAAUCUAGGAAAGAAUGCCUACUUGGACUGCAGAGUGAGCACUAAUGUGUACUGCUUUCUCUUAUCACAAUAAAGUAUAAUAAUAAUUUUAUAUGUUGCCUUUGUUCAACCAUUGUAAUUGUUAGAUUACAACCUAAUCCUGUUUUUAUUAUCAGGCUUCUUAGGUUUUGCAUCGGUUACCAACUUCUUAUGAUAUAAAAUAAUUAAUAGGAACUUUACUCGUGGUAUAUAUAUUUGUGUCAUAUUAAUAGCAGGACCCAGUGCUCCAUAAAGGAUAAUAGUUUCCAGUACACUAUUCCUCACGAUGACUCCUUAAGCGGCUCGUCGUCUGCUUCUUCAUGUGAGCCAGUGAGUGAUUUUCCAGCAUCCUUCCGAAAGUCUACCUACUGGAUGAAGAUGAGAAGGGUCAAGGCAGCUGCUGCUUCGCGUGUUGAAGGUACCAGUAUCUCUGCUUUAUUUCAAAGACAGAGCAUUCUCUAGGUAGCUGUUGUAAAUGGUUCUUAAAGUAUUAAGCAUCACGUAUGUUUCUCACAUCUGUGUUAGGCUGUCACACACUGUUAAGCUUUGUGAACUGUCCUUUUAUUUUAUUUUUUUAGUUUAUUUAUUUAUUUUUUUUAAUUUACAUCCAAAUUAGUUAGUAUAUAGUGCAACACUGAUUUCAGGAGUAGAUUCCUUAGUGCCCCUUAUCCAUUUAGCCCAUCCCCCCUCCCACCACCCCUCCAGUAACCCUCAGUUUGUUCUCCAUAUUUAUGAGUCUCUUCUGUUUUGUCCCUCUCCCUGUUUUUAUAUUAUUUUUGUUUCCCUUCCCUUAUGUUCAUCUGUCUCUUAAAGUCCUCAUAUGAGUGAAGUCAUAUGAUUUUUGUCUUUCUCUGACUAAUUUCACUUAGCAUAACACCCUCCAGUUCCAUCCAUGUAGUUGCAAAUGGCAAGAUUUCAUUCUUUUUGAUUGCCGAGUAAAACUCCAUUGUAUAUAUGUACCACAUCUUCUUUAUCCAUUCAUCCAUCGAUGGACAUUUGGGCUCUUUCCAUACUUAGGCUAUUGUUGAUAGUGCUGCUAUAAACAUGGGGGUGCAUGUGUCCCUUCGAAACAGCACACCUGUAUCCUGUGGAUAAAUGCCUAGUAGUGCAAUUGCUGGGUCGUAGGGUAGUUCUAUUUUUAGUUUUGUGAGGAACCUCCAUACUGUUUUCCAGAGUGGCUGCGCCAGCUUGCAUUCCCAACUGUCCUUUUAUUUUAGAGUGAAAUUCUUACUCCUCUAGGUUAUACGGGUAUCAGCCUUUCCUCUUCAAAUGAUUUGAACUUCUUUCCCAUUAUACCAAUUUCAUCCUCUGUUGACGUUUAGAGGCCUUUAUUAUUCAUGGGGAACAAUUGAUCAGUUGGGAUGGAGAACAGUAAAAAAAUGAAAUGGGGAGGUCGAAUGAGUUAGUGACGUUUUACCAACUUCCCUAAAACUGUCACAGACACUUCUGUGGGGCUUGUGUUUGCUGAUGAUCUGUCCUGUGAUGACCUUGUGAGUGUUUUUUUUUUGUUUUGUUUUUUUUUUUUUGGUGAGUGAUAUUUUGAAGGCUGGCCAGUAUGUUCACUUGUAAGCCAUACUGAGGGUUUUGUUUGUUUGUUUUUGUGUGGUAUUUCAGGGUCAGGUGGAGUAUCAACCAAAGGAAAAAGGAAACCCAGGCAGGAAGAAGAUGAAGACUAUCGAGAAUUUCCUCAGAAGAAGCAUAAGCUUUAUGGUGAGGGAGUAACUUUGCUAAUUCUUUUCCCUUGGGUACCUUGGCUUUAUUCUUCAGGGGUAAAAGGGAGAGAGACCUGAGGUUUUGGCCCUUGGAGCACUGCUGAACCCUUUGAUUUUUUGGCGAGGAAUGGCUUUCAUCCUACCUGACUUUUUUGUUUUUUUCCUGUCAUAACUUUUUUUUUUUUCACAUUUGCUCAUUUUUGAGAGACAGAGAGAGACAGAGCACAAAUGGGGGAGGGGCAGAGAGAGAAGGAGACAUAGAAUCCGAAGCAGGCUCCAGGCUCCGAGCUAUCAGCACAGAGCCCAAUGUGGGGCUUGAACCCACGAACUGCGAGAUCAUGACCUGAGCCGAAGUCGGAUGCUUAACUGGCUGAGCCACCCAGGUGCCCCUAUUAUUUUUAUUUUAUUUUUUUAAAAUAUGGAAUGCUUAUAUGUGCUGCCGAAGCGAGCACUUUUUAAAAAAAUUUUUUUUUUACAUUUAUUCAUUUUUGAGAGACAGAGAUAGAGCACAAAUGGGGGAGGGGCAGAGAGAGAGGGACCCUGUCAUAACUUAAGGGAGACAGUUGGUUGAGGGAGUGGGACAUAGGGUGUUGAGAAGAGAUGGGAGGAAAUUUUGAUAGUAACAGAUUGGAUAGCAAAGGUGAUAUGUUGGGCUUCAAGUUUCUGUCUUGUGUCAGGGAGGAAGCAACGGCCUAAAACUCAACCUAAUCCUAAAUCCCAGGCUCGUCGUAUUCGGAAGGAACCACCAGCUUACGCAGCAGGUAUGUUUUCUGUUGGAAGCUUUGGGGUAUCAAGGUCUUGCACUCUGUUUUUUUUUUUUUUGUUGUUGGUCAAGGAGUGAUGUUAUAAAGAGUUUCUUUAAGGAGGCAGUUAUUAAGGGUAUGGGUUUGGAGGCCAGUCAGACCCGCCUUUAAGUUUUGGCUCUUAACUCAUUUUCUGGUCUGCCUUCAUCUAGUUAACUUCUGCAGGCUUCAGUUACCUUGUCUCUAAAUAGGGAUAAUGAAGGUAGUCAGAAUUUUCAUGGAGACUAAAUGGGGAUAAAAACAUUUAAGAACAUCUCAGACACACAGGAAACAGGAAAUUGGCUGUUAUAUAUCUAAGUAUCCCAUUAUUAUAUGCUGCUGUGAAAAUGUUGCCCCAUUGUUGGUUAUACCUCAGUAAAGCUAGAAAAAAAAAUGUUGCCCAGUUCUUUAAGCUGCUGGGCUUUUGAAUGGUUCUCAGAUGGUUUUUGUCGUGGAGGACUGAGUAGGAGUAUCAGAAACUCCUCAUUGUCUGAAAAAAAAUUACUUCUAGAAAGAGUCUUUUCCCCAGGAAGGAAAAAAAAUGAUACUUUUACUAAAUUCCAGGAAUACGUUUUCUGUUUCUAGAGAAUUCUGCAAAUUAUGAAGUGUUUCUUUCUCUGCUUUGUAGGCAGUUUGGAGGAACAAUGGUACCUAGAAAUUGUGGAUAAAGGCAGUGUCUCCUGUCCUACCUGCCAGGCGGUGGGGAGGAAGACCAUAGAGGGCUUAAAGAAACACAUGGAGACCUGCAAACAGGUUAGAGAUUUUGUGGCGUUUCAUAAGGGUUAUGACCUUUUCCCAUACCUCAGACAACUAUCGCUGUGUCAGUGUGCUGAUUACUGUGGAGAAGCAGCAGCAUUGUGUUACAAGGAAAACAGAGGCUUUAGAGUCUGACAGACUUGGGUUUGAAUCUUCAUUUAGCCACUUACUUGUUGUGUCAUUUAGCUUUUUAUGUGUGAACCUUGGUUUUCUCAUUUAUAUUACAAAUUAUACAAAUAAUUUUAUGUAGUCCCUGAGGGGAUAAGAAAGAAUACAUGCUGAGUGCCCACCCCGUUACUCGGCAAAUGUUGGCACUCAGUAAAUGGUAAUUCUUACUCCUUUAAAAAUCAGUUACUUUUACUUCGUUACCCUUGAGGAUGUGACACUGAGGUUGUGGGGUUUUGAGAUUCUUUGGGUUUGGAAAUAAAGGAGACACAGACGAGAGCAUCCGGGUAGGACUUUGUUACAUUCUGUUUCUCUGUUGAACAACUUGACACUGAGCAGUAUUUCUUCCUGUAGGAAAUGUUUACUUGUCAUCAUUGUGGGAAACAACUUCGUUCACUGGCAGGGAUGAAGUAUCACGUGAUGGCAAAUCAUAAUAGCUUGGUAAGAGUAUCUUCUGUCCUGUAUGAGCCUGUGUGUGUUUGGAUGUCUUUACUUAGAUGAGUGCAGAUAACCCAGUGGAGGUGUCUAAGGCUCUGGGGCUUUAUAGAGGUGUGAGUAAGAAUACCUUUUUGAUAGAAGUCAUGCACAUGAAACCUUUGCGGUGGGUAUUUGUGUGUUUAGGUUAGCCCCAAAGGUUCGUCUCCUGGAAGAUAGAGGCUCUGAGCUCUUAUUUGCAUUACAUUUGCUUCCUUGUCUGUCUAGGAGAAGAGGGAGAAAGCCAGGAGUCAGAUAACUAAGCUUCAUGGGCAUCGGCUUAGGUGCUAGUCCAGUCCUUGAUUCUCCUAUGAUACAAUUUUUUUCUGUAUCUGUCUUUUCCAUGAAUCAUCUGCUUGUUUGCUUGUCUUGCUUUCUAGCCCAUUUUGAAGGCUGGAGAUGAAAUAGACGAACCAAGUGAGAGAGAACGGCUCCGAACAGUUUUAAAGAGACUGGGAAAGCUCAGGUGCAUGCGCGAGGUAAGAGCCCAGGGACAGUGUCUCCUUCUGCCUGGAGUCUUGAAUCAAUGUCUUUCUGUUAUUUUGUUCCAUUUCUUCUCUCUUGUAGACCUGGUUCUGUGUCCUCUUACAGCGUAAGAGUGGCUCCUGCUUUUCCAGCUGUUUUGAAUUCAUUAGUAGCUCUUUAUUUUCUUUCUCAUCUCCACAAACUUAUUUCCCCCUUCUUUCCCUUUGUUCAAAGGAGUUUCUUUACCAUCCUUUUUUAGUGUGAUGAAAAGGAUCUUAGUAUUCUCACUGUGAGGAGCUUUGCCAUUGCUGGGUGUAUGAUACUGGGGUGGAGUCGAGUCACAGACCAGAGAGGAAGCUCUGCCACAGGGGAGACACACGGAUCCAGUUUACUGAAUGCCAACUAAACUGAUUGACUGUCACGGUUGGUGGUGGACAGGACAGGCGUUCGGCCAGGCACAAGGGCCAAGGAAAGGUUGUGCCAACGGGAAGUGUUGGAGAGGGUCUAGUGAUACCAGAGGAUCUAUUUACGUGAGGUGGUGGUUGAAUGCUUUGUGGCUGUUGAGAAAUUGAGAAAUCAUGUCAAAAGAUGUAAGAUUAUAGUUCAGGCCUUUCUCCUGUGUUCAGAGUUGCUCUAGUAGCUUCACCAGCAUCAUGGGAUAUCUGUACCAUGUCAGAAAAUGUGGCAAAGGGGCUGCAGAGCUGGAGGAGAUGACCCUGAAAUGUCACCACUGUGGAAAGCCAUAUAAAUCGAAGGCUGGACUUGCGUAUCACCUGAGGUCAGAGCAUGGGCCUGUGAGUACUGAUUACUUUCCAGACCCUGUUUGGGGAUCUGUUUUUUGGGGACUCCUUACUCCGACAUCUUCCCAUACAUCCGCUGUUCCUUAUUUGUAUCCCCUUUUAAUCUUUGAAUACUUUUGUUUUCCUUUCCUUAUUUUUCCUUGGUUCUCUUAUUUCUGCCUUUUGAACAUAAUUAGGUUAGAGAAAUCAAAGUUCAGCGUGUAAUCUGUGCAGAAGUAAACUCAUUAUUAUACUUUUAAAGUUUAAGGCAUUCCGAUUUAGCUAGAAAUUUUGUGGAAAUUUCUGUCCGGCUGGUUCUUCCAUUCCAAUUUUUUUGUCUUGAUUUUUUUCCCCCUUGAUUACAUUUCUAGGCUUCCCCCAUCUCAUGUUUCUUUUUAGAAUUCAGUUUCAAGGUAUAAUUUACAUAUGAUAAUUAACGUUCACCCUUUUAAUUUUUUAAUUUUUAUUUUUUUUAAUGUUUAUUUUUUGAGAGCGAAGACAGUAUGGGGGGGUGGGCGGAGAGAGAGAGGGAGGCACAGAAUCCGAAGCAGGCUCCAGGCUCUGAGCUGUCAGCACAGAGCCCGAUGCGGGGCUCGAACUCACGAACUGUGAGAUCAUGACUUGAGCUGAGGUUGGACGCUUAACCGCCUGAGCCACCUAGGCGCCCCAAUAUUCACCCUUUUUAGUGUGCAGUUACGAGUUUUGACAAAUACAUAGUCAUGUAGUCACCACCACAAUCAAGAUAUAGAACGAUUUGACCACUGAUUUAUUUUCUGUCCCUAUAGUUUUGCUUUUUUCACAAUGUCCUAUAAAUGGAGUCAUACGAUAUGUAGCCUUCCUUUUGAGUCUGGCUUCUUUCACUUAGCAUAAUACAUUUGAGACUCAUCCAUGUGUUGCAUGUAUCAUUAAUUUAUUUUUUUUUAUUUCUGUCUAGGAUUCCAUUGUAUGGAUGUUUCACAGUUUCUUUAUCCAUUCAUCAGUUGAAGAACAUUUGGGUUGUUCCCAUAUUUUGGCAAUUAUGAAUAAAGUUACUAUAAACAUUCACAUAAAAGGCUUUUGUGUGAAAAUAAAUUUUAAUUUCUCUUGGGUAAAUACUUAGGAAUGGGAUAGCUAGGUCAUAUGAUAAAUGUGUGUUUACCUUUAUGAGAAACUGCCAAACUCUUUUUCAGAGUGGCUGUACCAUUUUGCAUUCUCACUAGUAAAAUAUGACAAUUCCAGUUGCUUUGUAUCCUUGUUAGGAUUUGCUAUUGUUAAUUUCAUUUUUUUCUUAGUCCAUUCUACUAGGUAUGCAGUGGUAUUUCACUGAAGUUUAAAUUUGCAUCUCCCUAGUGACUAAUGACAUUGACCAUCUUUUCAUUUGUUUAUUGGCAAUGUCAGUUGUUAGUGAAGUAUCUUCUUUUUUGAAGUGGCCAUUGAAAUCCUUUAUUAUUGGAGUUUUGUUGUCUUACUAGGAAGUUUUGAGAAUAUUCUGAGUUUUUUAUAUAUUUUGGACAGAAGCCCUUCAUUAGAUACAUGUUUUGCAAAUAUUUUCUCCCAGUCUAUAGUUUGUCUUUUCAUCUAUUUACAGUGUUCUAAAUUUUUUUAUAAGUUUAUUUAUCUUGAGAGGGAGAGAGAGCACCCAAGCAAGGGAGGGGGAGAGGGAGAGAGAGAAGCCCAAGCAGGCUCUGCUUAGUGUGGAGCUUGAUGUGGGGCUUGAUCUCACAGCUGUGAGAUCAUGACCUGAGCUGAUAUCAAGAGUCAGAUAGAUGCUCAACCAACUGAGACACCCAGGCACCCCUAUAGUGUUUUUCAAAGAGCAUAGUUCUUAAGUUCGAUUUAUCAUUUUUUCCUUUUAUGGGUAAUGCUUUUUUUGUUGUUGUUUCUAAUAUCUCUUUGCCCAACCCAGUUUUCUUUUCUUUUCUUUUCUUUUAAAUGUUUUUAUUUAUUUUUGAGAGAGACAGAGUGUGAGUGGUGGAGGGGCAGAGAGAGAGAGAGAGAGGGAGACACAGAAUCUGAAACAAGCUCCAGGCUCUGAGCUGUCAGCACAGGGCCAGAUACGGGGCUUGAACUCAUGAACUGUGAGAUCAUGAACUGAGCCACCCAGGCACCCCCCAACCCAAUUUUCUAUUGCUGCUAUAAAAAAUCACAAGGGGGCCUGGGUGGCUCAGUCGGUUGAAUGUCUGACUUUGGCUCAGGUCAUGAUCUCACAGUUCUUGGGUUCCAGCCCUGCAUCUGAGCUGUCAGCACAGAGCCUGGAGGCUGCUUCUGAUUCUGUGUCUUCCUCUCUCUCUGCCCCUUCCCCACUCACACUCUUGUCUCUCUCUCAGAAAAUAAAACAUUUAAAAAAAAUCACCACAGAAUUAAUGGCCUAAAUAACACAACUGUAUUGUUUCAGUGUGUUAGGCCCGAAGUCCAGGGAUAGCACAGCUCAGCUGGCUCCCCUGUGUAGGACCUCACCAGGCUGGCAUCAAAAUGUCAGUAGGACUGUUCCUUUUUGGAGGCUCAAGGGGAGAAUCUGUUUUGAGGCUCGUUAAAAUUAAGACUUGAGUUCCAUGCAGUUAGUUGUAGGACCUCAUUUCCUUGCUUGCUGUAGGCCGAGAGUUGUUCUCUGGUUAUGAAGGCCAUCUAUGUUCCGUGGCUUGUGGUCCCUUCCUCUUCAAGUCAGCAGCAGUAUCAAGUCUCUCUCACACUCUGAAUCUCUCCUGCCUUUUCUUCUGUCGCACCUCUCUUACUUAAAAUCAACUGAUUCUGGACUUUAAUUAGAUCUACAAAGUACCUUCACAGCAGCACAUAGAUUAGCGUUUAAUUGAAUAACUGAUGACUGUAGCCUAGCCAGGGUGACACAUCAAAAAACCAUUACACCCAGGAUUACAAAAAUGUCCUCCCUUUGUUUCUUCUAGAAGUUUUAUAGUUACGUGGUUUACAUUUCAUUUUGAGUUAAUUUUUAUAUGUAGUAUGAGAUAGGAAUGGGUUGAGGUUCAUGUCUUUGCACAUGGCUAUGUCUUGACCUUUACUUAUUAAAAUAGAAUAGACUUCACCCUAAGAAAUUUUUUAUAUUAGUAAAAUACGCAUGAAGGUGGUAGAGCUUUAUGCUAGUGGUUAGCAAGCCAGUGAAGAGCUUUUGAUACUUAGAGCAGGAAGGAUAGCCCUUAAUCAUUGGCUUUGAUGGAAGCCACUUCUCAGGCCUGUGUUUUGCUAUGUCUCAUUCUUGCAGAUCUCAUUCUUUCCAGAGUCAGGACAGCCAGAGUGCUUAAAGGAGAUGAGCCUGGAGCCAAAGAGUGGGGGUCGAGUUCAGAGGCGUUCUGCCAAGAUAGCUGUGUACCACCUGCAGGAGCUGGCUUCUGCUGAACUGGCCAAGGAAUGGCCUAAGAGGAAGGUGCUUCAGGAUUUGGUGCCUGAUGAUCGGAAGGUAAAGUAGAAAUUUGCGUUAAUUUUGAACCAUGUCUGAUGUUGUGCUUAGUACAUACGGAAAAGUAAAUGCACUUGAGUACGUGAUAAACAGUAUGUUGCUUCUUUUUUUUUUAAAUUAAUUAAUUAAUUAAUUUUAUUUUUUUUAAAAUAUAUGAAAUUUAUUGUCAAAUUGGUUUCCAUACAACACCCAGUGCAUCCCAAAAGAUGCCCUCUUCAAUACCCAUCACCCACCCUCCCCUCCCUCCCACCCCCCAUUAGCCCUCAGUUUGUUCUCAGUUUUUAAGAGUCUCUUAUGCUUUGGCUCUCUCCCACUCUACCCUCUCUUUUUUUUUUUUUCCUUCCCCUCUGCAUGGGUUCCUGUUAAGUUUCUCAGGAUCCACAUAAGAGUGAACACAUAUGGUAUCUGUCUUUCUCUGUAUGGCUUAUUUCACUUAGCAUCACACUCUCCAGUUCCGUCCACCUUGCUACAAAGGGCCAUAUGUCAUUCUUUCUCAUUGCCACAUAGUACUCCAUUGUGUAUAUAAACUACAAUUUCUUCAUCAGUAUGUUGUUUCUUAAUCCUUAGAGAUGGAGUAUGUCUGAUCCAGCUUCAGUGUUUGGAUUCAUAUGGGUCCUAGAGAGACCGUCUGUUUCAGAAAUUCCUUAAGGAACCCUCUUAAUUUUGAACUGCUUCUGGAGGGAAUCCGAAUUCCCAGAUUAGUCUUUUUUAUUAGUCUUUGUUUCCACUUUGUUAGUUUUUUGUUAGUCUUUUGUUAGUCUCUGUUUCCACUUUGUUAAUUUGUAUGUAGUAGUUUAUAUUUAGUUUAGAUAAAUGAUUUCAGUUUGUUUUUCUAGCAACAGAACUCCUCUCCCCACCCACUCUUUUUUUCCAAAUGAAAAUUAUAUAAAACACCAAUAUGUAGAAUAACUUAAAAUAGAGUCGCUGGGGUGCCUAGGUGGCUCAGCUGGGUAAGUGUCCAACUUCAGCCAAGGUCAUGAUCUUAUAGUUUGUGAGUUUGAGUCCCAUGUUGGGCUAUCUGCUGAUAGCUCAGAGCUUGGAGCUGCUUCGGAUUCUGUGUCUCAUUCUCUCUCUGCCCCUCCCCUGCUCAUGCUCUGUCUCUCUCUCUCUCUCUCUCUCAAAAAUAAAUAUUAAAAAAAAAAUUAAAAAUGGAGUUUCUCUAUGUAACUAGGGGUAGUGAGCCCAAAACUUUGCUUACUUGGCCUUCUCCUUGAUACUUUUAUCAUUCCUUCCAUGGCCCCAAGUGUACUUCUCAGGGUUACAGAAUCUAGCUUAGAAGCCUUUGGUUUAAAAUAGAUCAUAGACCAAAGGAACAUAUUUGGCCAAGAGGAGAUAAGGAGUAUAUGACUAUGGGGUAGUCAUGGGAAGGGCUUGGGAGGAUAUACGAGUAAAGAUUAAGGUUAGAGCUGAGGACCUGUUACUCUCCAUGGUAUCAAGAAAGAUAGUUUAGAUUUGGCCUAGGGCUUUGACUCAUGAGGGGAAUGUCAUAUAUUAUAAGAAAAUGUCAAUUCGUGGAAGUGGAUACCUUUUAUUUGGUCUAAAAAUCAGUCCUACUGGUGUCCAAGGAGUUGGAUCCUGUUCUUGAGUAUCAGAGCAUCCUUUUUUGUUUCAGACUCAUUGCUACCUUUUUCCUGCCACAGGCUAAAGUAUGUGGUUAUCUAAAUUCAGUUUAAAUGUGAAUUUUGUACAGUGGUAUGUAUCUUAUGAUAUUGUAGUCCGUUUGCUUUCACUGUGUUGAUCGGUGGUAGGGAAUUAGACAUAAAUAUUUGUUAACUGAUUGAUAAGGUUUGCUAGUCUUAUCUAGCAGAUACUCUCCUAAAAUCAUCAGUUUUAUAGUUUGACAUUGUGUAGGUUAAAGGCAUUAUUAUUUUGUUUUGUUUUAAACUAAAAAUUUAAUUGGAAUAGAUAAUAUAUUCUUGUUCAGAAGUCAAAAUGAUAAUAAACAUUGAGAUACCUCAGUCUCACCCCAUCCUUGUUCUAGCCUGUAUCCAUGGUAACCAUUCUUACUGGUUUCUUGUGUGUCCUUCCAGUGUUUUUUAAUGCAAAUACAAGCAAUAUGGUCUAGGAAAAACUCUUGUGUUUUCUUUUACUCACAUACUACUACACACUUAACACUUCUGACACCAGAUGUGUGGUUUUUUCCCACACAGACUAAUUUUCUAACACCACCUGCGUGUCCUACAAUUUAAUUCAGUCCUGACACUAUCUACCUGGAGUUAGUGUCAGGUCCACAAGUUAAGGGCUCAGUCUCACAGGACUGUUCCAAUUUCAGGUGCCAGUCACAAGUCCCAGGUUGUCAUCUGUACUUCUGACUGACUGGGCUAAAAAUUGGGGUUCCCAUGCUCCCCUCCUUGGUUUCAGUAAUUUGCUAGCAUGGCUCACAGAACUCAGGGCAACGUGUUUACUGGUUUGUUAUAAAGGAUAUAAUAAAAUCUGCAGAUGAACAACCAGAUGAAGAAAUACAGAGUGAGGUCUAGAAGAGUCCCCAGCAUAGGAGCUCCUAUCCCUGUGGAGUUGGAGGUGUAUCACCCUCUUGGCGCAUAUAUAUACUCUCUGAACCCCAUAAUUUUGGGAUUUUUAUAGAGGCUUCAUCACAUAGGCAUGAUUGAUUAACUAUCCCUAGCCCCUUUCCCUCUCUAGAGAAUGGGGAAUGUGUCUGAAAGUUCAAAGCUUCUAAUCAAGGCUUGGUUUUGCCAGUGGCUAGCCCACCGAGGAGCCCACAGAGUAUUACCUCAUCAAAACAAAAGAUACUCCUAUCACCCAGGAAAUUCCAAGGGAUUUAUGAACUCUGUCCAAAUACUGGUAUUACUCAGAAAAUUAGUAGGUGUUUUAGGAACUCUCUAUCAGGAACCAGGUUCAGAGACUGAGUAUUAGCAGGAACUGAGGGCAGAGACCAAUAAAUAUUUUUUCUUGUUUCACAAAUAUAUAUUCCUUUCUUUUAAAUGUUUCCAUUUAUUUUGAAAGAGAGAGCACAUAAGCUGGGCAAGGGCAGAGAGAGGGAGAGACAGAAUCCAACACAGGGCUCGAACUCACAAACCGUGAGACCAUGACCUGAGCUGAAAUCAAGAGUCAGAAGCUUAACUGACUGAGCCACCGAGACACCCCUAUAUUCCUUUUUCAAAAAUCUUUUUAUUUGGAAAUAAUUUUAGACUUACCGAGUCUUUGCAAAAUUAGUACAGAGUUCCCAUAUGCUCUUUACCUGGCUUCCCCUAAUGCCAACAUCUUACAUAACCAAUAACAUAGGAUCCCAUCAAGAUCUCACAUUUAAUUCUCUUUACUGUGUCUCCUUAGUCUCCUCCCAUCUGUUAUCAUCCUUCUGGCUUUAUUGAUCUUUUGUGCUCUUGACACUUUUUUUUUUUUUAAUUUUUUUUUCAACGUUUAUUUAUUUUUGGGACAGAGAGAGACAGAGCAUGAAUGGGGGAGGGGCAGAGAGAGAGGGAGACACAGAAUCGGAAACAGGCUCCAGGCUCUGAGCCAUCAGCCCAGAGCCCGACGCGGGGCUCGAACUCACGGACCGUGAGAUCGUGACCUGGCUGAAGUCGGACGCUUAACCGACUGCGCCACCCAGGCGCCCCUGACACUUUUGAAGAGAACAGGCUCGUUGUUUUGUAGAAUAUCCCUAAUAUGGAUUUGUCUAGUGUUUGCUCAAGAUUAGAUUGAAAGUUACAUGUUUUUGUCAAGAUUACCACUGAAGCAGUGUUUGCCUUUCUCAAUGUACCAUAUUAGGAGGUAUAUGAUGUUGAUGUGUCUUUUUUACCAGUGAUCACUUUGAUCACUUGAUUAGGGUGUAUUGUCCAGUUUUCUCCAAGGCAAAAUUACAGUUUUCCUCUCUGUAAUUAGUGAACAUUUUGUGGGGAUAGUGACACUGUGCAACUACCCUGUGUCUUAUCAUACCUCUGCCCACUUGCUGUAGCAUCUGUCAGUGAUUCAUUCUUGCCUGCAACAGUUAUUAUUAUGGUUGUUUGCCUAAUGAUGGUUUGUGUUUCCAUUACUUCUUCCAUAAAUUAUUAAUUGAAAUUCUGUGAGAAAAUACGUCCUUUUUUUCUCUUAAUCUAUUUAUAUCAGUAUGGACUCAUGGAUAUUUUAUUGUAGGUGUAUAAUCCAGUGCUAUUAUUAAUAUUCAUUUUUUGGCUCAAAUUGUUCCAGAUUUGGCCAUCAAGAGCUCUUUGCAGUGGGCACCUGUGCCUUUUUGACAUACUUCUAUCAUUUUUUUGAGUACUCUUUGACAACAUAAGGUGCUGUAGAGUCAUCUUGUGUAUUCCCUUCCCCCGCCCUGGAAUCAACCAUUUCUCUAAAGAAUGCUGGUUUCUUUUAUUGGAGAAUAUACUUAAAAAACAAGAUUUGAGGGGCGCCUGGGUGGCGCAGUCGGUUAAGCGUCCGACUUCAGCCAGGUCACGAUCUCGCGGUCCGUGAGUUCGAGCCCCGCGUCGGGCUCUGGGCUGAUGGCUCAGAGCCUGGAGCCUGUUUCUGAUUCUGUGUCUCCCUCUCUCUCUGCCCCUCCCCCGUUCAUGCUCUGUCUCUCUCUGUCCCAAAAAUAAAUAAACGUUGAAAAAAAAAAUUAAAAAAAAAAACAACAACAAGAUUUGAAUGCUGGGUGUACUCAUUCCUGCUGGGGUGUCAUUGCUUCUGGGCCCUCUUGGUGGCUAGAACUAGGAUAUAUAUGUAUGUCUACUCGUAGAUGAAAACACACACUCUGUGUUCAUUUUUAUGUCUGUCUGUAUACAUAUUUAAAGCCAUGAUACCUUCACUUCCAGUCCAACACCACAAGUUUCAUUCUUGCCUUCCUUUGUGCUUAUUUGUAACUCCUUUCUCUAACAGUAGGAAAACCUAGCUCUCACUGUUUGUAAUGUAUUUAUUUAUUUGCUUAGUCCUAGUAUAACAUAAAGUAGUUUUACAAUUAUUAAGCCAUACCCCUGUAAAAACAGGUUUAUUAGCUGCAGAAGAAUAUUUGUAUAUCGUUCUUUACAUCUUCAGCCUUACAGUAUAUAGUCAAAGUACUGUUUUAUUUUUUUUUUUAACUUACCUAUUUAUUUUGAGAGAGGGAGAGAGAGAGAGAGUGAGGGAGGGGCAGAGAGAGAGGGAGAAAGAGAAGUCCAAGCAGGCUCCACACUAACAUGAACUGUGAGAUCACGACCUGAGCCAAAGUCAGAUGCUCCACUGACUGAGCUUCCCAGGCGUCCCUCAAAGUAUUAUUUUACGGUUAUUUAGAUUGGCUUUCUCCCUCGCUCCCUUCAUUAUGCUUCUCAUUUGUAAUCCUUAGGUUCAUGUGUUACUUUUCUUUACAUUUUGAGUUCCCCUACAUCCUGUUUAAUUGAAACUAGUCAUUUCUCUUGGGGGGUAUGUGAAACAUUACCAUAGUUCUAAAAGUCAGACCCCAUACAAAAGGUCGUCUUAUAGAAGGGUCACUGCCCUCUUCCCAGCUUUCCCAUUCUGAAUACCCUUUUGUUUCCAUCCUGUCCCCACCCUGCUCCCUGCAGAGACCACCACACUCAGUUUCUGCUUUGUCCUUCCUGUAUUUUUAUGGGCUAGAUGACCAGAUACAUGCAUAUUUUCGUACAUCUUUUUCUUUCUCACAUAGAUACUCUUUUGUAAUUUGCUUUAUUUCACUUAAAAGUGUAUCCUGGAAAUCACUCCAUAUGUGUUCUUAGAGAUUAUCCUCAUUUCUUUUUUUUACAGCUGCGUAAACAUGAUAGUUUAUUAUAUGAAUAUAAUAUAAUAGUUUAUGCAAAUAUUCUCUUAUCGCUGUAAAAGGAUUUUAGAUGGACCUGUAUACCCUAGCUGCAGAAGAGAGGGGUGCUUAUAAAUAAAGCCAGCUCUGUGCUCUGAUUCCUCUUAUAGAUUUAGCGGAGUUCCUUUAGGCUGCCUUCCUUAUUUCCCCUUACCUCUGGGUUUUGGUUCUGUUUUUCUGUCUCAGAAAGAGCAUCAGCUUCUUUUCAGAUACUUCCAUUUUCCAAGCAGGAGGAUUGUUUACUCACUGGAAAUACAGCUAUUACUUGUGGUGGACUUUGUAAGAACUGUCUCUACAGGUGCUAGCUGUCUCUUUUCUGGAAACUAUAGUAGUUGUAAGAAGAGACUAACUUAGGGGCACCUGGCUGGCUCAAUUGGUGGAGCAUGUAACUCUUGAUCUUGGGGUUGUGAGUUCGAGCCCCACGUCGGGCUCUAAAUAAAUAAAUAAAUAAAUAAAUCUAAAGAAAAGAGAGAGAGAGACUAACUUGGGUCAAGCAUGUGAAGGCAAGUGUGAGGAAUAAUUUUGCUUGUGCAGUAUAAGUAAAAAUCAUGUGUUCCAUCCCCAAGUUCUCUCACAUCUUUGUUUUAGGUUGAACCUUAAUUUCUUUGAGUUUUUUUUAAAUGUUUAUUUUUGAGAGAGAAAAUAGAGAGAGACAGAACAUGAGCAGGGGAGGGGCAGAGGGAGACAGAAGGGAGACAGAAUACAAAGCAGGCUCCAGGCUCUGAUGAGCUGUCAGCACAGAGCCUGAUACGGGACUCGAACUCACAAACCACGAGAUCACGACCUGAGUCGAAGUCGGAUGCUCAAUUGACUGAGCCACCCAGGUGCCCCUGAAUUUUUUAAAUACCAAAAAUUAACAUGACACCUUUGAAGAAAAAGGAGAAAUGCAGAUAAGCAGGGAAAAAUCAUUAAAGCUACUCAAAAUUCUACCACCCAGAGAGGACUACUGUUAACAUUUUGAUGUAUAGCCUUCUAGCUUUUCCCCCAUCUACAUAUAUUUCUGUUGCAUAUGUUGUAUAUAUAUGUGUAUAUAUGUACCAUAUUUAUGAAUAUACCUAUAUUUUACAGUACAUAUUUGUAUCUUUGUCUUUUUCGUAAUGAGUAUUUUAACUGUGUAAAUGCUCUGUCACUAGCUUUUUAAAACUGUAGAUGAAGUGCUAUAUCUGAAAGUCUCUUCUCCUGCCCUCUGUUAAAAAUCAAAACUAUUCUAAGAUUAAAAAACAGACAGUUAUACUUACCAGUUUCAGAUAAAUUUGUAUUUAAAGGGUCUUACAUACUAUAAUACUUUUGGCACAUGAAAAUAUGUUUGUCAGACUCCAGAAUUACAUAACCUAAAGAGUUGGGUAUGAACCUUUUGGGGUAUUUUGGUUGGAAGUUGGAUUCCUCCAAUAAAAUAUUUCUUGUCUUGUAGUUAAAAUAUACUCGCCCUGGGCUUCCUACCUUCAGCCAGGAAGUACUACACAAAUGGAAGUCAGAUAUCAAGAAAUAUCAUCGCAUUCAGUGCCCUAACCAGGUGGUUCUUUCUCAUUCAUUUUUUCAGUAAAUGUUUAUCAAGUUUAUCAAACUUCUGUCUCAGUUACUGAUUCCUUCAUGACAAAGUUAUCUGAACCUUAGUGGCUUAAAACAUUAGUUAUUUUAUUUGUUCAGAAUUCUGUGAGUCAGUAAUUCUGUCAGGGCUCAGAGAACCUUCUCCUGCUAAACAUGGCGUCAGCUGGGAUCACUCAUGGGUUGUAUUCAGCUGCAAGCUCAGAUGGGACCUGAACGUCCAAGAUAGCUUCUGUGCAGCUAAUUGAGCUGGGAGCUUCGCUCUCCACGUGGCCUCUCUGUCCAUGAGGUUGUAGUGGGUUACCAGCAGGGUACAUGGCAACUGACUUCUUAGAGUGUUCCAAGAACAUGCAGAUGAAAGCUGUAGAUCUCUCAGGCCUAGCUUCAGAAUUUGUUCAGCAAUAUUUCCAUGGCAUUCUAUUGGUCAAAGGAAUCACAGGGUUAACCCAGAUUCAAAGGGAGGGUGAAUAGACUCCUCUUCUUACAGGGAAGAGUGGCAGAGAAUUUCCAUUAUUUCUUUAAUCCACCACAGCUGUAUAUGCAGUACUUUGGGAAGGAGGAUAUCUACCAGAAACAGGAGACAUAUUUAUACUGAAGAAGGCAGAUUAAAAAAAAAAAAAAAAAUCCAACCAUGCAAGUUUCUGUUUCUCUAAAAGUCAGAGAAAAAGUAUCAGGGAAGGGAAUAUCUUAAGCCCUUCUUUUUUUAAAAAAAUACCUUUUCAUGGUUUUCCUUUUUCCUUUUGUGGCUUGUGUCUGAAUUUUUUCUGUUUGGUUUGUAGUACAAUUUAUUGGGCUUCUUCCUCUAAAUGUAGGGUUGGUCAGUGUGAACGGCCAGAUUGCUAAGAGAAGGAUGAGGUUUGGUAUAAUCUUUACAUUAUUUCUUCUUCUCUCUUUCAGGGUUGUGAGGCUGUCUACAGUAGUGUAUCAGGCCUUAAGGCUCACCUGGGCUCUUGUACCUUGGUUUGUAACUUUCUGAAUGCUUUAUCUUAAUGUGAUCUCUCAAACAAAAGUCUGACAUGGAAGAGAAUUCAGUUUAGGCGAACAGCUAGUCACCCUGUUUACUGUUAAGUUCAGAGGCUUGUUUAGUUUUUUAUGUCCUAAAGAUUCUUUAUCUGGUAUUGGAUGGGAUGUCCUGAUAUGUCCAAGAUAUAGAAGAAGCCAACAUAGCCUUAAGUCUUAUCAAUUAAAAAAGUUGGAGGAAAAGUAUUAUUAUUAGUUUUGAGUCUAUAUCAGGGAGGUAACUUUUUCUACCUGAGUCUGUCCUGCCCUGGACCUGCCCUGUUUAUUGGGCCUUAAAAUUUCUAGAAUCAGUUUACAUGUGCUUAUCUGGAUGAUGAAGAUCCUCUAAUCCCACCUGAAUUAUAUAGCCUCUGGGGAUGGGAGGUAGAUGCUAGCCCUGGGUGUCAGGCAAACAGAUAUUCACCUCACUGCAUCUUUUCUGUGUUGACCCAGGUGCCCUCUGACUCACAGACAUGGGGACUGCUGCCACUUUUUAAUUCCAUUCAGAAAUAUCUCCUCACACAAAAUUAGCACCAUGGACACUCAGAGCUUCAGGAGGGGAGAGAAACCUCAGUUCAAAGCAGCAAGGGAGUGUAGGCAUCCAACCCAGAUCUGGCCACAAGUGCUUAGGAGUUUGUCAUCAUGAUCUUAGUUUCUGAGUCCUUAAACUAGGCAUUAUGGACAAUACACCUCUAAUUCUGGAUUUGCAAGGCACUCUUUAGAGCAGUGGAUUAUAGUGGGAAGAAUUAUACAUUGGUGCCUCUGGUGAACUUCAGGAGUUUGAUCAUGUGGGAAGAGGAACCAAGAGAAUCUGGAAGUGAAGUGACAGAAACUAGGGAAGAUAGAAAAGGGUGAUUGGUUACAUAAUAAAAGUAGGAAUACUUUAGGUUGUGUUGAGGGGGUGGGGGUAUUAUGUAUAGAACUAUAUUAGGAUAGAUUUCUAGUGGUAAUAGUCUGCCUAAAUCUGGUUUUCCCAAGUAUAUUGCUGUAUUGGAUUUUCUUCCUUCUUACCUUUGCUGAAGUAAAAUCCCCUCUUUUCAUCUCUAACAAUCCCCACACACGGCCCAGGUACGUGUUCCUGAAUUUACCAGUAAUUCCCUUUUCUUUCUCUCUUGAAAACAGGGAAACUUUGUGGCUGGAAAAUACAAGUGUCUUCUGUGUCAAAAAGAAUUUGUGUCAGAGAGUGGUGUCAAGUAUCACAUCAACUCUGUCCAUGCCGAGGUGAGGUCCCUGCUUUUCCCAUCA
rnacentral:lncRNA from 1 species